UGUGGGAGCGAGCCUGCUCGCGAAGGCGUCGGUUCAUCCAGCAUGUGUGUCGACUGACUCACCGCUAUCGCGAGCAGGCUCGCUCCCACA
rnacentral:misc_RNA from 1 species